GCCUGGGGAUGAGCUCCCGUCCGAUUAGCUAGUAGGUGGGGUAAGAGCCUACCUAGGCGACGAUCGGUAGCUGGUCUGAGAGGAUGACCAGCCACACUGGGACUGAGACACGGCCCAGACUCCUACGGGAGGCAGCAGUGGGGAAUUUUCCGCAAUGGGCGAAAGCCUGACGGAGCAAUACCGCGUGAGGGAGGAAGGCUCUUGGGUUGUAAACCUCUUUUCUCAGGGAAGAACACAAUGACGGUACCUGAGGAAUCAGCAUCGGCUAACUCCGUGCCAGCAGCCGCGGUAAUACGGAGGAUGCAAGCGUUAUCCGGAAUGAUUGGGCGUAAAGCGUCCGCAGGUGGCUGUGUAAGUCUGCUGUCAAAGAGCAAAGCUCAACUUUGUAAAGGCAGUGGAAACUACACGGCUAGAGUGCGUUCGGGGCAGAGGGAAUUCCUGGUGUAGCGGUGAAAUGCGUAGAGAUCAGAAGAACACCGGGUGGCGGAGGCGCUCUGCUA
rnacentral:rRNA from 1 species